UACGGAGGGUGCAAGCGUUGCUCGGAAUUACUGGGCGUAAAGCGUACGCAGGCUGUCCGCUAAGUCGGGUGUGAAAUCCCGGGGCUCAACCCCGGAAUUGCGCCCGAAACUGGCGGGCUUGAGUGCGGGAGAGGGAAGCGGAAUUCCUGGUGUAGAGGUGAAAUUCGUAGAUAUCAGGAGGAACACCGGUGGCGAAAGCGGCUUCCUGGCCCGACACUGACGCUCAUGUACGAAAGCGUGGGGAGCAAACAGG
rnacentral:rRNA from 1 species